GGUGAAACCAUAAUACUAUUGCAGAAUGACAAGGAUCUAGGCUAAAACUUUCUCAUAAAACAUGGACAGUUAUCUUCACUGAAGGUGGAGCUGCAUUCCUGCAAAACAUCCUGAUGAGAAGCCUGGCCCUUGAUUGGAAUGCCCAGAGAUAUCAAGGAAAGAAAAACAGUGAAGGACUGGAAUCCUUGCAGCCGCAUGAUUAAAGCAGUUUUUCUACUGGAUGAAUGAGAAGAAAGAGGAUGAAGAAGGAGGAGGAGAAGGAAAGGGAGGAAGAGGAAGAGGAGACCAGUAGUUUACUAAUCUCUUUUCUCCGGAUCAAGGAAAUAAACUGAAGACAGGAUUGUAGAGAGGAUUUCUUCAGAGAACCACUAUACUCUGAUCCCCGAAAGACUGGAAAUGCGAGGGGGGUGCUACCCUCAUCACCCGACAUCGAGUACAGCUUAGAGUUAAG
rnacentral:lncRNA from 1 species